rnacentral:rRNA from 1 species
CAAGGAAUUUUCCGCAAUGGGCGCAAGCCUGACGGAGCAACGUCGCGUGGAGGAAGACGGCUUUCGGGUUGUAAACUCCUUUUGGGUGGGACGAUUGUGACGGUACCACCCGAAUAAGCCCCGGCUAACUCUGUGCCAGCAGCCGCGGUAAUACAGAGGGGGCAAGCGUUGUCCGGACUUACUGGGCGUAAAGGGUGCGCAGGCGGUUUGGUGCGUCCACGCUGAAAUCAUACGGGCUUAACCGUGUGGCGCGUGUGGAUACGACCAAACUUGAGGCUCUGAGAGGGUAGUGGAACUCCUGGUGUAGUGGUGAAAUGCGUAGAGAUCAGGAAGAACACCUGUGGCGCAAGCGACUACCUGGCAGAGACCUGACGCUGAGGCACGAAAGCGUGGGGAGUGAACCGGAUUAGAUACCCGGGUAAUCCACGCCGUAAACGAUGUCGACUCGGGGUGUGGUUGUCUUACGACGACUGCGUCCCCAAGCUCACGCGGAAGUCGACCGCCUGGGGACUACGAGCGCAAGCUUAAAAC